CGCGGCCUAUCAGCUUGUUGGUGGGGUGAUGGCCUACCAAGGCGACGACGGAUAGCCGGCCUGAGAGGGUGAUCGGCCACACUGGGACUGAGACACGGCCCAGACUCCUACGGGAGGCAGCAGUGGGGAAUCUUGCGCAAUGGGCGGAAGCCUGACGCAGCAACGCCGCGUGGGGGAUGACGGCCUUCGGGUUGUAAACCUCUUUCGCGAUCGACGAAGCUCCGGUUUCUGCCGGGGUGACGGUAGGUCGAGAAGAAGCACCGGCCAACUACGUGCCAGCAGCCGCGGUAAUACGUAGGGUGCGAGCGUUGUCCGGAAUUAUUGGGCGUAAAGAGCUCGUAGGCGGUGUGUCGCGUCGGCCGUGAAAACCUGGGGCUCAACUCUGGGCGUGCGGUCGAUACGGGCAUCACUUGAGUUCGGCAGGGGAGACUGGAAUUCCUGGUGUAGCGGUGAAAUGCGCAGAUAUCACGAGGAACACCGGUGGCGAAGGCGGGUCUCUGGGCCGAUACUGACGCUGAGGAGCGAAAGCAUGGGUAGCGAACAGGAUUAGAUACCCUGGUAGUCCAUGCCGUAAACGUUGGGCGCUAGGUGUGGGGUCCAUUCCACGGGUUCCGUGCCGCAGCUAACGCAUUAAGCGCCCCGCCUGGGGAGUACGG
rnacentral:rRNA from 1 species